rnacentral:misc_RNA from 1 species
GAUGGAGAACGCAGCGAAAUGCGAUAAGUAAUGUGAAUUGCAGAAUUCAGUGAAUCAUCGAGUCUUUGAACGCACAUUGCGCCCCCUGGUAUUCCGGGGGGCAUGCCUGUCCGAGCGUCAUUGCUGCCCUCAAGCACGGCUUGUGUGUUGGGCCGUCGUCCCCCUCCUAGGGGACGGGCCCGAAAGGCAGCGGCGGCACCGCGUCCGGUCCUCGAGCGUAUGGGGCUUCGUCACCCGCUCCGUAGGCCCGGCCGGCGCUUGCCGACGACCAUCAAUCUCUUUCUCCAGGUUGACCUCGGAUCAGGUAGGGAUACCCGCUGAACUUAAGCAUAUCAAUAAGCGGAGGA